UACAGAGGGUGCGAGCGUUGUCCGGAAUCACUGGGCGUAAAGGGCGCGUAGGUGGCGCCGCAAGUCCAUGGUGAAAGCUCGAUGCUCAACAUCGAGUCGGCCACGGAGACUGCGGGGCUCGAGCACUGUAGGGGCAGAUGGAAUUCCGGGUGUAGCGGUGGAAUGCGUAGAGAUCCGGAAGAACACCGGUGGCGAAGGCGGUCUGCUGGGGCAGUUGCUGACACUGAGGCGCGACAGCGUGGGGGAGCAAACAGGG
rnacentral:rRNA from 1 species